GAUGAACGCUGGCGGCGUGCCUAAUACAUGCAAGUCGAGCGAACGGACGAGAAGCUUGCUUCUCUGAUGUUAGCGGCGGACGGGUGAGUAACACGUGGAUAACCUACCUAUAAGACUGGGAUAACUUCGGGAAACCGGAGCUAAUACCGGAUGAUAUUUUGAACCGCAUGGUUCAAAAGUGAAAGACGGUCUUGCUGUCGCUUAUAGAUGGAUCCGCGCUGCAUUAGCUAGUUGGUAAGGUAACGGCUUACCAAGGCAACGAUGCAUAGCCGACCUGAGAGGGUGAUCGGCCACACUGGAACUGAGACACGGUCCAGACUCCUACGGGAGGCAGCAGUAGGGAAUCUUCCGCAAUGGGCGAAAGCCUGACGGAGCAACGCCGCGUGAGUGAUGAAGGUCUUCGGAUCGUAAAACUCUGUUAUUAGGGAAGAACAUAUGUGUAAGUAACUGCGCACAUCUUGACGGUACCUAAUCAGAAAGCCACGGCUAACUACGUG
rnacentral:rRNA from 1 species